GGUACUUUAGCCAAGUGGUUAGGCACCGGUCUGCAAAACCGUCUACGGCGGUUCGAUUCCGCCAAGUACCUC
rnacentral:tRNA from 1 species